CCCAGAUUUGAGGAGCUCUCAAUGAACAAGUCAGUAUCUGGCACCUUUGAGAGGCUCUUUUGGAAACAGAAACUGUACCUUAGACCCUCUCUAGCUGUGGAGGGGAGGGGGCCCAGGAGGGAGGGGGGAAAGGAUUAGGAGAUUAAGGAUAAGGUCCUACCCGGGGACAAGAUGCACUUUUUCUUUUUUGCUUGCUUACAGCGUGUUUAUUUGUAUGUUUGUUUGUUUUACAAUAUAUUGAGUUGAUCCAAAGGGCUUAGAGUCCAGUUGGGGAAAUAUGUAUUUGUGAGUAAAAAUCUGAGAAUUCCUGGUCGAUGAAUGUUCUCACUGGCAAUGAAUCUUAAAGACAUCACGGGCAGUAGGAGGUAAGGAGGGAGGGGUGCUGUUUCUCAGUGCUGGAGUGGAGAGACUUCGGGGUCAUGGCAGAAAAUUUGGGUUUACAUCUUGGCUCUGCGUGACCUUGGAGAAGUUUAUUCCACCUGUCUGCAACCUCGUCAGCAAAGGAAGCCCCCAAGGCUUGCACGGAAGCUCUCUGUCAACAGGAAAGGCCUGUGGGUCCCCUGGUUAACAGCUGAGUUUCCCUGCAGGCAGGAGGGGGCAGGGGAAGGGACAGAGGCCCAGGAGAUACAGCAAAGAGGGAGAAAAAAGGCAAAAGAAUCCACAAAAGAGCUCUAAGAAAUCAAGCAGGCAGGCAGGGCUGUCUGCCUCUCAGAAGGGGACUGGUAACUGUCCUGGGCCCAACGGGGCCAAGAUGGUCCCGAGUCUGGCAAGUCACACUCCCUCCCCACCCACCUGCCUCCCCACUUGGGCCUUCCUUAGCUUUUAGUAAGAAGGCUGCGAUGAAUUCUGUGCCCCUGUGAGGGAUCUAAGUACUCCAGUGAAAAAGCCAUGUUUAAUUAGUCCUAAGUCAUCAGCCAGCCUGUCAGGGUCUACACUGAUUGAAAUCUGGCCCCGGAAGCCUGCUCCUCCAGACUUAUGCGUGCACGGACUGAUGAGUCCAGCUAUAAUGCUGCCGUCAUUUUCAAGAUUCAUGGUUUGAGUCCUGGAGGAGCUGCAGUAGACCUGGCCGCCGUGCGCUUCUGCUCCCUAAUCUCUCUAAUGGGUCUAGAAGGCCUACUGCUGUGUUAUGGAGAAAGAAGCAAAAUCGUGCAAGGAAAGCACUUCGUAAACGCAGAAGUGCUAGACGUUAUUAGUUCAUUUCUUCAGAGAGCCUCCGCAGGACCACUGACGGAAGGAUUUGCUAAACAAAUGAAAGCUGUGGCCACCUGGACUGGAAGGAAGGUUUCGCCCAGAAAACAACUCUCCUGCGGUUCAAAGGAAACAUUUGACCUCAUCGUAGAUUAUUCUUAAUCACUUCUUCUCCCAGGUCACCCAAGAACCCCUGCCUGGCAAGGGCCACACUUUGCCACGGGUGUGUUGGAAUGUCCCAUAGUGCACAGCUUUAGAAACGGGAUGCUGCUGGCCUUUCCCAGAACCUCAGC
rnacentral:lncRNA from 1 species